UACGUAGGGACCAAGCGUUGUUCGGAUUUACUGGGCGUAAAGGGCGCGUAGGCGGCAAUUCAAGUCAUCUGUGAAAUCUCCGGGCUUAACUCGGAAUGGUCAGGUGAUACUGCUUUGCUAGAGUGCAGAAGGGGCAAUCGGAAUUCUUGGUGUAGCGGUGAAAUGCGUAGAUAUCAAGAGGAACACCUGAGGUGAAGACGGGUGCUGGGCUGACACUGACGUGAGGCGCGAAAGCUAGGGGGAGCAAACGGG
rnacentral:rRNA from 1 species